UACCAGCACCCCGAGUGGUCGGGACGAUUAUUGGGCCUAAAGCAUCCGUAGCCGGUUCUGCAAGUCUUCCGUUAAAUCCACCUGCUCAACAGAUGGGCUGCGGAGGAUACUACAGGGCUAGGAGGCGGGAGAGGCAAGCGGUACUCGAUGGGUAGGGGUAAAAUCCGUUGAUCCAUUGAAGACCACCAGUGGCGAAGGCGGCUUGCCAGAGCGCGCUCGACGGUGAGGGAUGAAAGCUGGGGGAGCAAACCGG
rnacentral:rRNA from 1 species